UAGGGAAUCUUCCACAAUGGACGCAAGUCUGAUGGAGCAACGCCGCGUGAGUGAAGAAGGCUUUCGGGUCGUAAAACUCUGUUGUUGGAGAAGAAUGGUCGGCAGAGUAACUGUUGUCGGCGUGACGGUAUCCAACCAGAAAGCCACGGCUAACUACGUGCCAGCAGCCGCGGUAAUACGUAGGUGGCAAGCGUUAUCCGGAUUUAUUGGGCGUAAAGCGAGCGCAGGCGGUUUUUAAGUCUGAUGUGAAAGCCCUCGGCUUAACCGAGGAAGUGCAUCGGAAACUGGGAAACUUGAGUGCAGAAGAGGACAGUGGAACUCCAUGUGUAGCGGUGAAAUGCGUAGAUAUAUGGAAGAACACCAGUGGCGAAGGCGGCUGUCUGGUCUGUAACUGACGCUGAGGCUCGAAAGCAUGGGUAGCGAACAGGAUUAGAUACCCUGGUAGUCCAUGCCGUAAACGAUGAAUGCUAGGUGUUGGAGGGUUUCCGCC
rnacentral:rRNA from 1 species